GGAGACCAGGUAGCCAGGGAGAAACAGUGACAUGGAAGGAAUUGUCCAGACUUCACCUACUAAUGCCCUUUUGUGGCUUCAUAUUUCAACCAGAGUAGUUCUCAGAAGCUGUCAUUAGGAGCUAAGAUCCCGAUACAAGAAAACUAUAACAAUCAUUCAACUCUGCUCUGGUGCCAGUUGCAUUCUGGACUCCAGGAACAUCAGUCCUUUUUCAGGACAUAUUUUGCAGGGCAGUCCCCUCUCCAAGCCAUGAGAUGGAAGAGUGUCCUUAUAUGAAGACUGCUGGAGUUCCAUUGGCUGGAAGUGCCUCAGGCUGUGGCUGGUGUUUGAAGGGCUGCUCCACACAUAUCAAUCAUCCUUUGACAAGAUCUGGAAGAAAAAAAAAAACAACAAAAACCACCCCCCAAAAAGGUGAGGUUCCGAGAUGGUAUCUGGAUGAUGAACACAGAGAGAGCUUCCAUUGUUCCUCUUCUCCUUUGUGCAGAGGAAGCCGUUGGCUGUGACUACUGAGAACAGAAUGUCCCCUCACAUCCAAUAUGGUAUCAGCCCUGACAUCUCUUAAAUACAGGUUCCAGCGACAGGGCUAUUGAGUGACUUCACUGCAAUCAGUAUUGCUGACUAAUGCCUGUAUCAACACCUACCGCCGCCACCACCGGCGCUUCAGUGAUUUUAUGUUCAGUUUGAUUUCUCCAGACAGAACUUUUCCACAUCAUUGGAACUAAUUGAGAAAAUAACAAGAGGAAGAAUUCGUCUUCAUGAAUUGAAUUGUCAGUUCUGCAGACAAUUAUCAAAAAUUUUACAGGAACACCUUGAGAGAUGUCGAAGUGUUUAUUUCAACAGCCCAAAGAAGAGAACCACAAUAUGGACACUCUCUGUCUUCACAAAUCCCCCAACGCAUGUUUUAUUCAACCUUCCAAUUUUUAGACAAAGAUUCUUGUUAGCCUCAUGAAAGACCUGGAUACUGGGGGAAAGAUGGUAUCAUAUUUUCAAUUAUGAUCAACUCACCUAAUCUGACGGAAGUGGUAAGAAGGAAGCUGGUGUGUAUGCUGAUUGUGAUUUUGAGAAUAAACUCUUACUUCUAAACCACUUACAAAAGUAUUUGCUUUUAGGAAAUGCUGUGUCUGGGUGAGGUACUAGUGGCAGUAACACCUAUUGUACUGUGACAAGUAUUUAAUGGAAUUUAGAAGUAAGGUUGAGCUAAGGAUGCUCCCAAUGUGGCAGGAUUCACAGCAAAGUAUACAAAGGAAAGACUAUGAGUGGAAAGUGACUUGUUAGAAUGUGAGCAGAGAUGUGUCCAGAGCCUCUUCCACCUGCUCGUGUGAAACCCUUAAAAGAUCCUCUAAAGUCUCUCCAGUGGUUCUGUCCAAGUGGAAAGAAGAGAAGGAAUAAGGUAGAGUAGGAAAAGGAGUUCUUCAUGCUUGGGAACGUGAAGAACAUUCUCCUAAAGUAAUGUUCUUAUUUCUAUUAAUCAGCUGUGCAUUGCUCAGGUGAUUUCUGAGAUGAGAUGCAUCAGAAUCCGUGCAUAUCUUUUGUGGUUCCAGAUAACAGCCUACUUCACUAAAAAAAAUCUUCCAGAAUCAUUAAGAGCAUUAAUUUUCAAAACUGUAGAAGGACUAUGGACAUCUUGUGCUUUUAGAGAAUGAACACACAACACAUUUUCUGUUAUAUCAGAGCUUACAGCUUCUAUCAAUUAAGAAAGUAUGGCUCCACUCAAUGAGCUAUAAAGUGAUAGCACAAGAAGGACUUUAGGAAUCAUUGAGCUCCCUUAUCUCUUUGGACAGAUGAGCAAACUGAGACCCAAACAGGAGAGGAGAGGACAAAGUCUUACCCUGGUCGCCUACUGAAUUUGUGGCAGGGUCAAACAACAUUUAUCCCAGAUUCUCAACUGACAUUUCCUUAUACUGUCUUCAUUUUGACCAUUAGCUUGUCAGCUUAAAGGAUUCAAUUAAUUCAAACAGGAUCUUGUAAUUAAAAAAAAUAGAAAAUACAAAAUACAAAAUCAGACUAACUUUCCGUGAGUCACUUUUCCAAAAUGUUUUGUAUCAAUGUGUAACAAACGAG
rnacentral:lncRNA from 1 species